AGCGAACGCUGGCGGCAGGCCUAACACAUGCAAGUCGAACGAACCUUUCGGGGUUAGUGGCGGACGGGUGAGUAACACGUGGGAACGUGCCUUUAGGUUCGGAAUAACUCAGGGAAACUUGUGCUAAUACCGAAUGUGCCCUUCGGGGGAAAGAUUUAUCGCCUUUAGACCGGCCCGCGUCUGUUUAGCUAGUUGGUUGAGGUAAUGCCUCACCAAGGCGACGAUCAGUAGCUGGUCUGAGAGGAUGAUCAGCCACAUUGGGACUGAGACACGGCCCAAACUCCUACGGGAGGCAGCAGUGGGGAAUCUUGCGCAAUGGGCGAAAGACUGACGCAGCCAUGCCGCGUGAAUGAUGAAGGUCUUAGGAUUGUAAAAUUCUUUCACCGGGGACGAUAAUGACGGUACCCGGAGAAGAAGCCCCGGCUAACUUCGUG
rnacentral:rRNA from 1 species